CACCAGUGCUGAGCAACAGAUCCAGUGUUUUAUAGCAGUAAAGUUUGGCAAAUGGCAAGAGCAGGCAAAUCCCCAACAUGCAUGAGGAUGUAAGUGCAGCUGAUCCCUAGUGGAGGUGCCUGAUGAUGGGUUAAAAUAGUGGCAGCCAAGCCCAGGGAAAGAGGGAGGCAGUUCACAUUGGGCAGUUUUGGAAGGCCUGGUUUGUGCCUCAGUCAUGCUCAUGUGGGAUGCCAUGCCCUGGGAAUAUUUGAUUUGUUCAGCAUCAGGCAGGGGUGGAUCCUGGGGAGGGCAGGAGGGACUCUGGCUUCAGUAUGGGAGAACUUGAAUCCACAUUUCCUCCUGCACUCCAGUUCAUAGAAUCAUACAAUAGAAUCAUACAGUGCUAGUUAUUCAUGGCUCUCUGUGAGAGCUUACAGAGCAGUGCAGGUUUCAAGGAAAACACCAGAAUAUGUAUUUCUGUAGUGAAUUACUUCAGGAACCAACAUCUCAGUGCUGCUCUUACUACCCAGAAGUAAUCUGGGUUUCUCUCUUACACCCAAACCCUUUAAAGUUUUCUCCACUCACCAAAUUGCUCCUUCACUUUCUUUUUAGUUAAAGAUGUCAUUUCAAGCUGCCUGUCAGAAGCUGCCUGUCUCAACCAGCAAUACUGAAUAAAGACUUCAAUAUGUUCAAACCUGGAUGCUGUUGAAAGGAUUAUGUGCAUGCACAGAAAGCAGUUCCAGUGGUGUUACUGGAGCAAGUUCUCAUCCAAAGACUCUCAGAUUCCACACUUGGUGACUCAGAAAGUAGCACCCACGUCACAGGCUUUUACAGCAGUGACAUCCACACCUGAGGGAGUUCCCUGCACCUUCCUUAUGGCAGAACAGACAAGAGUGGCAAUGUUUCACAUAAUCACUGAUUUCGCCGAAGCUUUGACAGCAUUAUCAAGGGCUUUUAAUAUUUUUGAUUUUAUAUGAAUCCCAUAAAACAUCCAAACACCAGGAUGUAAACAAAAGACUUCAAGAAGCUUAGUUUUGAUAUUUCUGUUACAUUCCAAAUUUGGAAUGAAAGGAGGUACAAAAUAAUCACCUCUCCCAGGAAAAUGUGACAUCUCACACAGCUCUGACCAUUCUUGCACAAGUCUCAAGGAUCUCUGCUGAUGGACAAGUCUCCCCCUGCACUCAGUGAUGCUGCAAAACGUCCAGCAAACCUGCCACAAAGGGAAUUCUCAUUCACAUCCUCCCGGAUGCUCAGAGUCACCUUCCAGGGCAGCAGCACCUGCCAAUACCAUCUUCUGGGAUAGUACCUUCUGAAGCACACUGAUGGAAAGGUAAAGGUCUGAUGUUACUGCUCAAAUAACAUGAACACAUCUCUGACAAGUGGGUAGGCCUUACCUUCAUCUUUUAGAAGAGAAAACAAAAAGCACAUGCAAACUGUUUUCUUUUGAAGAGAACAUGGAUGUUGAAGAAAUGAGAGAGUUCUUGUUAAAAGAGAGCUCUCUCAUAUUGCACUAGUACCUUAGGCUGCAAUGCAAGAUGUAACUGAAAGUAUGUAUUCUGUUAUCAUCUGUUAAAGCCAAGUAGGGCAGUGCUCUCUGUCUUCCCCACCAUCCUCCCUCCAGGGAGAUAGCUUCUGUUAAUGGGCCACUGAGUGCCACUGCAUGGCUGACAAAAUCACAUCAUCCCAUUGUGAGAUACUCUGCCCAGGGGGAAGAGCCAAGCAUUCCUAACUGGAUAUAACCAGAGAUUUAGAACACCACCUUCAGCCUUUUCCACAGGAUUCCCAGAGGAAGACUGAACCGUCUGCACCACCACUGGACUUUCAGAGAACUGUACCCUGGUUCUGCAGAAUCCCUGCUUCAGCAGAACUGCAUUUGUCACUCCAGGAGGACUGCAGCCACCAUUUAAUCAGACUGCUACCAACACCCUGACCAACAAGGUGUCAGGUUAUAUUCUGACUCUGUCAGUAGGUUUUUUUUGAUUGGUUGGUUUUUUUGUACUACUGCAUUUUGAUUUUAAUUUUCCUAAUAAAGAACUGUUAUUCCUAUUCCCA
ensembl:lncRNA